rnacentral:rRNA from 2 species
GGUUAAGCGACUAAGCGUACACGGUGGAUGCCCUGGCAGUCAGAGGCGAUGAAGGACGUGCUAAUCUGCGAUAAGCGUCGGUGAGGUGAUAUGAACCGUUAUAACCGGCGAUUUCCGAAUGGGGAAACCCAGUGUGUUUCGACACACUAUCAUUAACUGAAUCCAUAGGUUAAUGAGGCGAACCGGGGGAACUGAAACAUCUAAGUACCCCGAGGAAAAGAAAUCAACCGAGAUUCCCCCAGUAGCGGCGAGCGAACGGGGAGGAGCCCAGAGCCUGAAUCAGUGUGUGUGUUAGUGGAAGCGUCUGGAAAGGCG